ACACGUGAGCAAUCUGCCCCUGACUCUGGGAUAAGCGCUGGAAACGGCGUCUAAUACCGGAUACGAGCUGCGACCGCAUGGUCAGUAGCUGGAAAGAAUUUCGGUCAGGGAUGAGCUCGCGGCCUAUCAGCUUGUUGGUGAGGUAAUGGCUCACCAAGGCGUCGACGGGUAGCCGGCCUGAGAGGGUGACCGGCCACACUGGGACUGAGACACGGCCCAGACUCCUACGGGAGGCAGCAGUGGGGAAUAUUGCACAAUGGGCGAAAGCCUGAUGCAGCAACGCCGCGUGAGGGAUGACGGCCUUCGGGUUGUAAACCUCUUUUAGCAGGGAAGAAGCGAAAGUGACGGUACCUGCAGAAAAAGCGCCGGCUAACUACGUGCCAGCAGCCGCGGUAAUACGUAGGGCGCAAGCGUUAUCCGGAAUUAUUGGGCGUAAAGAGCUCGUAGGCGGUCUGUCGCGUCUGCUGUGAAAACCCGAGGCUCAACCUCGGGCCUGCAGUGGGUACGGGCAGACUAGAGUGCGGUAGGGGAGAUUGGAAUUCCUGGUGUAGCGGUGGAAUGCGCAGAUAUCAGGAGGAACACCGAUGGCGAAGGCAGAUCUCUGGGCCGUAACUGACGCUGAGGAGCGAAAGGGUGGGGAGCAAACAGGCUUAGAUACCCUGGUAGUCCACCCCGUAAACGUUGGGAACUAGUUGUGGGGUCCAUUCCACGGAUUCCGUGACGCAGCUAACGCAUUAAGUUCCCCGCCUGGGGAGUACGGCCGCAAGGCUAAAACUCAAAGGAAUUGACGGGGACCCGCACAAGCGGCGGAGCAUGCGGAUUAAUUCGAUGCAACGCGAAGAACCUUACCAAGGCUUGACAUAUAGAGGAAACGUCUGGAAACAGUCGCCCCGCAAGGUCUCUAUACAGGUGGUGCAUGGUUGUCGUCAGCUCGUGUCGUGAGAUGUUGGGUUAAGUCCCGCAACGAGCGCAACCCUCGUUCUAUGUUGCCAGCACGUAAUGGUGGGAACUCAUGGGAUACUGCCGGGGUCAACUCGGAGGAAGGUGGGGAUGACGUCAAAUCAUCAUGCCCCUUAUGUCUUGGGCUUCACGCAUUCUACAAUGGCCGGUACAAAGGGCUGCAAUACCGUGAGGUGGAGCGAAUCCCAAAAAGCCGGUCCCAGUUCGGAUUGAGGUCUGCAACUCGACCUCAUGAAGUCGGAGUCGCUAGUAAUCGCAGAUCAGCAACGCUGCGGUGAAUACGUUCCCGGGUCUUGUACACACCGCCCGUCAAGUCAUGAAAGUCGGUAACACCUGAAGCC
rnacentral:rRNA from 1 species